rnacentral:rRNA from 1 species
CCCCAGCGCCACAAGUGGUUAUCACGAUUAUUGGGCCUAAAGCGUUCGUAGCUGGUUUGGUAAAUCUCUUGUGAAAUUGUUCGGCUUAACCGGACAGCGUGCAGGAGAGACUGCCAAGCUCGAGACCGGGGAGGGGUUAGAAGUAUUCCAUGGGGACUGGUAAAAUGGGAUAAUCCAUGGAAGACUACCGAUGGCGAAGGCAGGUCUCUGGGCCACUA